AACGGGAGAAUCCUGAAUUCGAAAGGGGCCGGAUUCAAGUCCGUCCUGAUUGCGCAGGCCGCUCGGCCCCGCCAGAUGGUGCCGGUCGCCCGCGGCGAUUCAUUUCGCUUGCGGUGUCGUUCCCGGUGCUCACUCGGUGGGGUGGCGUUGCUCUCGCGUCGGAGGACUGCACUUCCACCCUAGUAGAAACGUCGCGACCCGUUGGGUGCCGGUCUAAGGCCCGGGAUGGCAGACCACGUGUCCUGCGGGGGCUCUCGCAGGCGCGCGGACUCCUGGUGUCCCGGCCGGCUGCCCGACGGCAAGACCAGAGGGGUCGAUCCGCUAAUUGGGAAACACUUUGGCUGUGUAGCGUCCGGCCCGGCGCCGACACGUGCGGGGAUUGAGGUGCAAGCCAUGGGUGUCCGUGCGAAGCACGGCCCCGGCCCCGCCGCGUCGUCGGAUCUGCCGGUGACCUCGGACAGGAUCGCAACCCCCGUCUGCGACGCCCACCUUCGGAUGG
rnacentral:rRNA from 1 species